UGUUCAUUCCUAAGCUACGUAUACAUAAUACUAGAAGUGGGACAAUUCAGAGAAGAUUAGCAUGGCUGCUGUGCGAGGAUGACACUCGUUUUUUCAAUUUUUAAUUUUUUUUA
rnacentral:snRNA from 1 species